AUAACAAUUUUUUUUAAUUAUUAAUUUAUAAAUAUCAACAAUUUAUUUAUAUUAAUAAAUAAAUAUAAAUAAAUAUUGUUAAUUAACUUUUUAUAUAAUAAUUGCAUUUUAAUAAUUUGUAUACAUAUAUAUAUAAUUAUAGAUACAUAAUCUUGUAAGAUAUAAUGAAAGAUUUAAUUAUUAUAAAUAUUAAUUAAUCAUUUAAUCACGACACCUAGUUAGGUGAGAGCAACCUCGAUUGUAUUUAUUGAUUUCUUCCCUUCCGCCAAUAGUCGCAUGAAUUUUUCUUAAAACCUUCUCUUCAUUUACAGGUGAAAUGUGUGCAUUGUUCUCUCCUCUUCCAAGUCUCUCUAAACUUUCAUAUGAAUAUGUUAAAUCUCCUUCACUUGGCUUCUUCUUUAAACCUUCAUGUGAAAUUUGUGUAUCAUUUUCUCCUGAAAUUUUCUCUGAACUUUCAGGUGAAACUUGUGCAUAAAUUGAUAUGUUCUGAUUUAACAUAACAAUAGUAAAAAGAAUGAAACAAAUGAACAAUGUUUUCAUGAUGAUGAGAAUAGUUUGAAAAUUCUACAAAUGUUUUGCUCUUCUUU
rnacentral:lncRNA from 1 species